UUCUCGGCGUCAUACUCCUCAGGACAGAGUUUGCUGACGAAGAUAAACAAAAACCUGGUCGAUAUGGAAGAAGGAUUUAAGUGCUUUGAUACUGCGAAGACUUCGGUCUUCGGUCACAGAAUGCGUCGUGCACAGCUGAACUGGUAUUUGAUAUCUCUGAGCAAGCGAAAGAGACCUUCGACAACAGCACGGCAUCUUUGCCACCAGUCGCGUCCUUGGUGAACUCGUUCUAUGAAGCGGCAAGCGGAAACUUCUCAGAAGUACAAGAAGCUCAUCAGGAUUCAGAACUACUUAAGGACGUGACAGAUGCUGAAGAAUUGCUGACCCAAUACAUCGCACAGAGAGACGAACAUGAAAGACUGGGUCGAGAACUCCAAGAACUUGAUAGAGAGGCAGAUGAAUUACUAGGACAAUUUAGUGUGGCUGCUGAGCAGUAUUCACAGUGUGCGGGCGCAUAACGAACUCUGGUCUGGACAACAGACGUCAGUCU